rnacentral:lncRNA from 1 species
AAGCCAAGAGCCCAGAGCAGGGUGGAGCUCCAGGUGGAGGUGGAUCAGGCGCUAGACCGGAGAUUCGGAAGGACGAGAGGUGACGUUGCAUGGUGAGAUUUCUAUUGCUGUAGGAUGAUAUCCCAAGCAGAUUUUUGAUCAGAAUGGACACAGCUCAUGAUGAAGAUGGGAUCGAGCGGUCUGGCUCGACUCCCACAUUUGCCCUCCAUG